UAGGGAAUAUUGCACAAUGGGCGAAAGCCUGAUGCAGCAACGCCGCGUGCGCGAUGAAGGCCUUCGGGUCGUAAAGCGCUUUUCGGGGAGAUGAGGAAGGACAGUAUCCCCGGAAUAAGUCUCGGCUAACUACGUGCCAGCAGCCGCGGUAACACGUAGGAGGCAAGCGUUAUCCGAAUUUACUGGGCGUAAAGCGCGUGCAGGCGGUUCGGUAAGUUGGAUGUGAAAUCUCCUGGCUCAACUGGGAGAGGUCGUUCAAUACUGUCGGACUAGAGGAUGGUAGAGGGAGGUGGAAUUCCCGGUGUAGUGGUGAAAUGCGUAGAUAUCGGGAGGAACACCGAGUGGCGAAAGCGGCCUCCGUGGACCAUUCCGUGACGCUCAGACGCGAAAGCUAGGGGAG
rnacentral:rRNA from 1 species